ensembl:lncRNA
CUUUACCCGCCUGUCUGCCCCCCUCUUUUUGACCCCCCCCACUCCACCCCGCCUUUCUCCUUUUGCAAGAAAAUAAUUUGACAGUCGAUUUGCUGACAGGGGAGGAAUUUGCAUCCUGGAUUUAAAAAAAAAAAAAGGCCGAGAGGAGCUUAGGAACGGUUGCUAGGGCUCGGCUCGUCCCCCAUCUCACCCCCCAAGUGGAGAUUGGUCGUCUGGUCGGAUUGCCCCGGCACUUGUUGCCGAAACAGCCAAGGCUCUGGCCCCCAAGAAUGCUGACAGAGGAAGACUUGGGAGCAAGUCGACACUGAAGGAGUCUCCAGCCGUCUCAAUACUGAAUCAGGUAUCUUCUCCCAGACUGGGUAGUCAGAUCGUGAGGCGGCAAGGGGACCUGUGGUUACUUGUUUGACUCCUGCUGUGGAAAAGGGCUGCUGUGGCCCUGGACUCCACAGGUGUUUGGCAAACUGUCUCUAGGAAAUGGUCAGUAGAUGCUCACAUGGGUUUUUAGCAUGGUCUGGAGUAGGGCAGGGGGUAUCCUGCCUUGCCAAUCUUUUCAGAGUUGUAAACAGCUAAGGGAGAGAGGGUGCCCAUGGACCGAGUGCCCAUGCUCAGAAGGCACUGUGGUGAUUGGGUAUGUGUUAUUGGAGAAUUGUGGUUCUGAUGGGUCAUCUUUAUAGUUUUGUUUUAUUUUUAAUUAUGUGUCAAUGUGUACACAUGAUUGCAGUGCCCGUGGGGGCCAGAAGUGGGUGUUGGAUCCUCUAGAGCUGGAGUUAUGCCAGCUGGGAUGUAGCACUGAGAGCCAAAUUGCGGUCUUCCUCAAGAGCAAUGUGUGCUUUUAACUUCUGAGCCACCUUGUCAUUCCCUGGUGGUUAAUAAUGAAUGUCAGCUCAGUGCCAUGGAGCGUGAGCUUGGAGACACAAUUUUGUGAACACCUGUAAGGCGUUUCCCGAGAAGUAUAACUGAGAAGGGGAGAAUCAUCUUGAAUAUGGAUGGUGCCAUCCCAUGAGCUGGGUACCAGGCUGAAUCAAAAAAAGAGAGGGACAUGACAGCCCCCUCUUGACACUUGGAUGUAGAGGCAGGAGAAUCAGGAGCUCAAGGUUAUCCUUAACUUCAUCUUGAGUUCAAGGCCAGCCUGUACUAUAUGAGGCCCUUUCUGAGUUGGGGCAAUCAAGAGAGAGAGAGGAGCAUCAGAAUUUGUUGGGUUCUGCUUCCUGGCUGGGUUCACAAAGUGCCCAGCUACCUCCUGCUUCCUCAACCAGGAGUGCCAGCAAGCCUGAACAUCUCCAGUGUUUGUCAGCUCAGACCUAUGGGCAAUUCCCGUCUCUUCCUCCCUCUGUCAAAUAGGCACAUGGCUUUAGUUCUUUGCCAGGCCUUCCACGGGAGCUGCCAGAGGGACACCGGCUUGUGUGUAAACAGAGCCUUCAUCUUUGGAAGAUUCUUUAUUUUCUGUGCAUGGGUGUUUUGCCUGCUUGUAUAUGUGCAUGCCACCAUGCGGUGCAUGCCACCAUGUGUACCUGGUGCCCAAGGAGGUACACCCUCACACCCUCUGGAGUUACAGAUGGGUGUGAACCAAACCCAGGUCCUCUGCAGGAGCAGCCAGUGCUCUUCACCUCUGAGUCAUCUCCGCAGCCCCGCCUUUAACGUUGAGAUAAAAGCCUGGGGACAGUUCUUUACCACAUUCUCAGUGACCAGUUUUUCGUUCUGUUGUUUGUUUGAAACAAAGUCCUCGUAGCCUGCUCAAGCUGGCUUCAAAUCCUGAUGUAGCUGAGGAUGCCCUUGAACUUCCAGUCUUCCUUCUUAUACUUUCCAAGUGCUGGGAUCACAGGCAGGUACCAUGCCACCACACCUAGUUUUUUGGUACUGGGGAUCAAACCAGGGAUUUGCACAUGCUGGGUGAUCACUCUUAUGUACCAGCUGAGUCCCCUUGGAUGUCCCUUUUGUGGACUCAGUUGGUUACAUUUCUUUUUUACUGUGCCUGAUUUUGAUUGAAUUUUCAAGGCAUUGUGUCUGUUAUGUGAACAAUGGCAGAGACUGUCCGGAAGGACUGUGCAUAAUGGUGUGAUAGCAGCUCAAGAAAAACCCAGUAAGAGGUUGAGCACCCCCGACAGCAGGGCAUGGAGCUGUUUCCACACCCGCCUCAAUGGAUGAAAAGACCAAGAGUCUGAAUGGAAAAUCCUCUGGAUAGAUGGGCUCCAAGAGGGGUGCAGGCAGCCUACAGGAAGUUGGCUGAAAGUUCCAGGAUAAUGACAUCAGCAAUGAGCUCCCCUCCCUGUGACCAUUUCCCUCACAUCAUCCAGUCAUCCCCAAGGCUAGGGAGCCUGGUCUGGCUGCUCACAAAUACCAGAGAACCUACAGGUUAGAGCUGAGUAACUGGUGGAGGGUGACCUCAGUAGCAGGUGGGUACUGACUGACAGGGCUGCGGUGCUGAUCUCUUGGGCUGUCUCUGCUUUAGUAUCAAAACAGUGUGCAUUCAGGAGGUAGUGGUAGAGGUUUGCCUUGCAUGCUCGAGGCCUUGGGUUCUGCCCCCAGCACCAGAGCAGAAGUUUCUUACAUUUGAGUGAGUGGAACUGUAUCGUUAGGUCAGCAAUGUGGACUAUUGACUGGAAGUUCUGGAAAGAGUGAUAAAAAUCUUGUUCUUUUUCAAUUAAAAAAAAAAAAAAAGACUCAGGCAAGCCAGAUGUACAGGUAUGCCUUUGAUCCCAGCACUCAGGAGGCAGAGGCAGGAGGGUCUCUUUGAGUUCUGUCCUAGCCUGGUCUCCAUAGUGCGUUCCAGGACAGCCAGGGCUACAUAGUGGGACCCCCCACACACACCUCAAAAAAGAAAGCAAAGCAAAGCAAAACAAAACAAAACAGCAAAAGACCCUGGGAAGUCCUGCAGCCUGCACAAGGCCUCCUGUCUCUUCUCUGAAGUGACUGUUAUACAUUUCUCCAUGUGAGCCAGCUUAGAAACAGUGAAAGCAAAAAUGUGAGCAAGUUCAGAGGUGGGGUGGCAGAAAGGCCCUGGGUCAGUGCUGCAGGCUGCCCCUCAUGCGUUCCAGCCUGCUUGGCAAGUGCAAACCCCAUUCCCAGGCCAGAAAGUAUUUUAACAGUGUGGUUGUAGGCAGAGCUCUCCCAGGAAGUUCCCAUUGGCAGCAGGUACUGUCUGGUUUCUUGAAAGUCUUAAGACGUAGAGUCGUCAAUCCAGUGAGCUAACUAUGCCUUCCUCAAUCCCCUUUAAUUUCUAAUUUGCUAAUUCAUCCUUUUUAUAGCCAGGGUAAACACUGCACUCAGAAUUCUGGACUGGUGAAGAUUAAAUGGCUGUAAUGAAGCCUCUCAUUUAUAGCCACAUCUAUAAAAUGGGAAUAAGAAUAGCAACUGCUUCACUGAGGCAAUCCAAUCAGGUACUUAGCCCAGUGGCUGGCCCAAUAAAUGUUACUUUUAUUAGUGUCAUAUAUCUCAGAAUGUGUCACCUUCCUUCGUUUCUGCGCAUCUUUAAUCCAACAAAUUAACUCUCUUCACAACAAAUAAAUUGUCUGCCCCUGUUUAGUUAGCUCUCUUAGGGAUAAGGUAAAUAAGUGUACUGAAAUAUUUAGUGGUUAUGGAUUUUUUAAAGUUGAAGUAUUUUUAUUAGAAUUUAUUUGGGAAGGACAUUAAAAUAGAGAAGUUUAAGUGGCAUAACUCUUAGGUUAAAAAGUAGAUGUUACCCCCAGAAAAAUAAGGGUUUGUAAACUUCAUAGCAAUGAGUCUGUAUGUUCCACUGAAAGCCCUUCAGGUUCUUGUGGCCCAAGGUCACCUGCCCCGGCAGAUUUCUGUUUGUUCUGUUUUGAGGAUCCAGAGGGCUGACUGAUCCUCCUGAGCUUUGGUUUUCCAGAGUAGCCACACAGCUGGGUUUUUCUGGUUGGUUGGAUUUUGGGACCACCUGGACUGGGUGAUGUCUUAGUUUUCUGGAUGCUGUUAUAAAAGACCAGGCACAACCAAUGUAAAAGAGAAAAGAUUUAUUUUAGCUCCUGGGGACAGUGUGGCAGAACUGAUGGCAGUGGGAACAUGUGACAGUGGACUCGGAAGCAGAAAGGGCAGGCCAGCACCAGGGGCAGGAACAACCCUCCAGGCCUUCAUCUAGUGACCUGCUUCCGCCCAGUAGGUCUACCUCCUAAAGACUCCACAGCCUUCAAAGUACUGCCACAAACUACAUCCUCAGAACAUGAGCCUGUGGCUGACAUACAGCACUGACAUCAGCAGAAUUCAGCCAUAGGAUGCUGCAGUUGGUCAUGUGGGAUGCUGCAGUUGGUCGUGUGGGAUGAUGCAGUUGGUCGUGUGGGAUGCUGCAGUUGGUCGUGUGGGAUGCUGCAGUUGGUCGUGUGGGAUGCUGCAG